GCCAUCCCAACCCUUUCAAGUGCCGUUACCGCAGGGCAUCAGCGGGGAUGCUCUGGUGAAGAUGAUGGAGGAUCUGGUUGAAGGAAAUAUCACGAGAAGGCUGCCGCGCAUAAUCGAGGCGGUGCUGAAGGUGGUUUCUGCAAGUUUCCAAGCCUCCAUAGACAAGGAGGUCGAUUUGAUUUCAAAGGCGAGGGCCGCGGACGCCACCCGGAUUAAAAAUCUCUCUGAUGGUUUGGGUAACCUGAAAUCUGAAGUAGCCCGGCGGUUUGAUAAGCUUCGCACCAAAGACCCGGAGGGGUUGCGGGCUCGGAUCGAAGCAAUGGAAGAAGAUUCAGUUGUCACCAAGAAUCACCUGGAGGAUCUGCGGCGGCGGGUCGGAAAGUUGGAAGGAGAUUCCAAGGCCGAGACUAAAAAUCCAGGGAAAGAGGUGGAGAAUGUGAAGGGUAGGAUUCUAGAAAUCGGACAGCUGCGAGCCGGCUUGACCGAGAAUUUGGCGAAGGAGACUGAGCAAGCCCCUGAAAGUACUCGGAGGUUACAGCAUGAUGAUGGCUUGACUCGCAAGCAAGCUUCCGCUUUCACAGAGGAAUUACGUGGAUCUGUAGUUGAGGUCAUUCAGGCUGCUAUGGAUGAUUUUCUCCGGUCUUCAUCGCUUCAAGAUCUGAAGAACAGUCUUGAAGACACUAUCGAGCGACAAAUCGUUAGAGGAAUUGCUACUAUUGCUAGCCAGCAUUCUAAAUUCGAGGUUUCACUUUCUCAGAAGUUUCAGGGUUACGUUGAUGCUGUGUGGACAACCACGAACAGUUUGAAGUCUUUGCUAGCUGAUUUUCGAAGUCAGGACUUGUCUUUCCGGAUACCUAAUCCAGAGGAAGCGUCUUCAUCAGGUGCCAAAGAUCAGGAGCACAGCUCUGUUUGAAAGGUAAAUUUAAUUGGUUUAGUGUUUUGGUUUUUGAGAUUGUGUAGGUGUUUUUUUAUUUUAUUAACUGUGUAUUAUUGCAUGUUUACUUAUUUUAUUAGCAGGUUUGAAUUUAUGUUAUUGCUUGUUUUUUCAGUGGGAUAUGCUACCUAUCCUUUGCUGCCAUUUGAUUUCUGUUUUGUUCAAUUAUGUCUUUGUAUGGAGGGAUUAGGCCUAUAUUACUCUCUAUUCCCGCAAAAUAUUCCAUUUCUCUAGUAAUUUCUAGAGGGAUCGCCUGGUGUUAUUUCCUAACUGUAAAUAUUAAAUUAAAUUUCUAGCAGGACUCGUCUGUUCAGAUAACUACUACAGAGGGAGCAUCCUCUUCAGAUGCCAAAGAUUAGGAGCACAGCUCUGUUAGAGAGGUUUCCCGAUUCUUCUUCAAGAUCAGAGCUGUUGUGAAAUCAGAAAAGUCUGAGAGUAGUUAUCAAAUGUAAUCUAACGGAUCUUCUGUUUCGAAUAGAUGUUUUAAAAUUGACACGUUAAGGCUUGUACCCAUUAUUAGUUGGAUUGCACGUGCAAUGCACGUGGUAAAAUAUUUAUUAUUUAUUUUCAUUUUAUAA